UACGUAGGGUGCAAGCGUUAAUCGGAAUUACUGGGCGUAAAGGGCUCGUAGGCGGCCAACUAAGUCAGACGUGAAAUCCCUCGGCUUAACCGGGGAACUGCAUCUGAUACUGGAUGGCUUGAGUUCGGGAGAGGGAUGUGGAAUUCCAGGUGUAGCGGUGAAAUGCGUAGAUAUCUGGAGGAACACCGGUGGCGAAGGCGGCAUCCUGGACCGACACUGACGCUGAUGAGCGAAAGCCAGGGGAGCAAACGGG
rnacentral:rRNA from 1 species